UACAGAGGUCUCAAGCGUUGUUCGGAUUCAUUGGGCGUAAAGGGUGCGUAGGCGGCGCGGUAAGUCGGGUGUGAAAUCUCGGAGCUUAACUCCGAAACUGCAUUCGAUACUGCCGUGCUUGAGGACUGGAGAGGAGACUGGAAUUUACGGUGUAGCGGUGAAAUGCGUAGAUAUCGUAAGGAAGACCAGUGGCGAAGGCGGGUCUCUGGACAGUUCCUGACGCUGAGGCACGAAGGCCAGGGGGAGCAAACGGGG
rnacentral:rRNA from 1 species